GUAACGGCGAGUGAAGCGGCAACAGCUCAAAUUUGAAAUCUGGCUCUUUUAGAGUCCGAGUUGUAAUUUGCAGAGGGCGCUUUGGCGUUGGCAGCGGUCCAAGUUCUUUGGAACAGGACGUCACAGAGGGUGAGAAUCCCGUACGUGGUCGCUAGCCUUCGCCGUGUAAAGCCCCUUCGACGAGUCGAGUUGUUUGGGAAUGCAGCUCUAAAUGGGAGGUAAAUUUCUUCUAAAGCUAAAUACUGGCCAGAGACCGAUAGCGCACAAGUAGAGUGAUCGAAAGAUGAAAAGCACUUUGGAAAGAGAGUCAAAUAGCACGUGAAAUUGUUGAAAGGGAAGCGCUUGCAGCCAGACUUGCCUGUAGUUGCUUAUCCGGACUUUUGUCCGGUGCACUCUUCUGCAGGCAGGCCAGCAUCAGUUUGGGCGGUUGGAUAAAGGUCUCUGUCACGUACCUCUCUUCGGGGAGGCCUUAUAGGGGAGACGUCAUGCAACCAGCCUGGACUGAGGUCCGCGCAUCUGCUAGGAUGCUGGCGUAAUGGCUGUAAGCGGCCCGUCUUGAAACACGGACCAAGGAGUCUAACAUCUAUGCGAGUGUUUGGGUGUCAAGCCCAGACGCGUAAUGAAAGUGAACGGAGGUGGGAACCCUUUGGGUGCACCAUCGACCGAUCCUGAUGUCUUCGGAUGGAUUUGAGUAAGAGCAUGGCUGUUGGGACCCGAAAGAUGGUGAACUAUGCUUGAAUAGGGUGAAGCCAGAGGAAACUCUGGUGGAGCUCGCA
rnacentral:rRNA from 1 species